UUUCCGUAGGUGAACCUGCGGAAGGAUCAUUACUGAGUGAGGGCCCCUCGGGGUCCAACCUCCCACCCGUGUUUAACGAACCUUGUUGCUUCGGCGGGCCCACCUCACGGCCGCCGGGGGGCAUCUGCCCCCGGGCCCGCGCCCGCCGAAGCCACCUGUGAACGCUGUCUGAAGUAUGCAGUCUGAGACAAUUAUUAAAUUAAUUAAAACUUUCAACAACGGAUCUCUUGGUUCCG
rnacentral:misc_RNA from 1 species